CCUACGGGAGGCUGCAGUGGGGAAUAUUGGACAAUGGGGGGAACCCUGAUCCAGCCAUGCCGCGUGUGUGAAGAAGGCCCUCGGGUUGUAAAGCACUUUCAGUGAGGAAGAACGCCUGGUGGUUAAUACCCAUCAGGAAAGACAUCACUCACAGAAGAAGCACCGGCUAACUCCGUGCCAGCAGCCGCGGUAAUACGGAGGGUGCGAGCGUUAAUCGGAAUUACUGGGCGUAAAGCGCGCGUAGGUGGCUUGAUAAGCCGGUUGUGAAAGCCCCGGGCUCAACCUGGGAACGGCAUCCGGAACUGUCAAGCUAGAGUGCAGGAGAGGAAGGUAGAAUUCCCGGUGUAGCGGUGAAAUGCGUAGAGAUCGGGAGGAAUACCAGUGGCGAAGGCGGCCUUCUGGACUGAAACUGACACUGAGGUGCGAAAGCGUGGGUAGCAAACAGGAUUAGAUACCCCAGUAGUC
rnacentral:rRNA from 1 species